AUAGUGGCGCCAACAGCGGGGAACGACCGCAGUGGUCGGGGCGAGGGACAUCUGCCAAGUCAAACUACCGCAGGAUUUGCCGGCUAAACAAACCUCUAUCGGGAUGGUCCUUGUUGCCGACCGGAGCCGCCUCAGCAGCUGGCCUCGAGUCGUUCGCGAGUGGAGCAUGUGCCGUUUCCACCCCACUGAGGACGUGGAGUGAAGACCGUGGCGUGUAAGACUGCCUUCACCUUGUCCUGGACAGCACCUUCCACAAGCCCUGCUUGAAGGCAGAGUGAGAGAACAAAAAUUGUAAGCAAAGUGCAGAAAAAGGUGAAGAAGCUGGGACAAGGAACUUGGUGGUACUUGAACUCUGCAAUCCAGGUGAAUACCACAAGCAGCCUUGGUCUGAGCUGCUUGGAGCUCCUCCAAAGAGCACAGUCACUUUUCCAGAUGGGCACCUACUGAUCAAGUUACCGUGGGGAAUGGAAUAUCAACAUUGAAUACAGAUAUCAUUUGUAAAGCAAAAGAGUUACCUUCAUUAUGAAUUUGCAACUGCAGAUUUGUAACAAAGUUAAAUACAGUGUCACUGAGACAAAUUCACUGCAGAUAGUGAGGACCUGGACAGAGAUUUUAAAGGUCUCUUGUUUUUAAAAAAUACUUUCAGAAUAUUGGCAAAUCGAGGUCUAGUCCCAGCAACACAGGCACAGCUUGCGUGAGUAAAAUUGUGCCCAGGCAAGUAAAGUAUGGCAUAGCAAGCUAAACCCCAUGGCCUUGAAACUGAGGUCUGAAUUUGGCUGCUUGUGGCCAUGUCUACAUGCGUACAUAUUUCUCCUUUUUUGAUUUUUGUUUCUCUGUUGACUCAGACUCAUGCUAGUUACAUGCAAGCCUCGUUUUCACUUUUGCCCUUUCUUUCCUGCAUCUUCCACUGCCACUUUACCACUGGUACAGUGUGCUUCACAGGUAUUUAAUUAACGUGUUUUCACAGCUGCCCAUUAUUCCUAUUUUGCAGACAUGCAACUAAAACCCAUGAAAGAAGUCAGAUUAUGCUAGAAAUUCCAUUCUUAACAGGCAAUAUCCCUGCCUAACAUACCAAGCACCUUCCCAGUUUACUCUAUGUUUGGGGUUCGCAGGUGGCCUAUAUCAUGUCUGGAAAUGUGAUUUGGGUAAAAUUUGGAGGUUGACUAGGACUUUGUUCAGGCAGGACAGUAGCAUUAGCAUUUGCUGGGCCCCUGAAAAUACUGCACACAGCCACAGCGCAUGCUAAAAUCUCCUGUACAAAUCUAAGUACAGUAAAUCUGUCUGUACCAUCUGGCCCAAUGUCCCACUGAACAACAAACAUCUAAAUUGCCAUGGUGGAUAUAUGGAGAAAGAAUUAGGAUACACUGAACGCUGCCCUAAUUUGGCAUGACUGCUGGAAGUAUAUGACGUUCACUUAGGUGUAGGCCCCUGAUUUAUCUUUGAGAUUGGGUCUUGGUUUCUAAAGUCAGCUAUCUAGAUGAUUAAAUGUGAGUGUGUACCUAAUGAUGCAGAUAGCAUCCAAUAGGACUUAAAAGGCAUUUUUUUUCAACUUUAGCAGAAUUUUCUCAGCAUCACACAUAAGGAACCUGUAUCUGCCUGCAUUCUAAGUAAAGAAAUCUGCUAGAACCCAUAUUGAAAACUUUAGUAAGACAAGGCACAUUUCCCAAAGAACUAUAUGGCUCCCUAUGAAAAGGCCCAUUAGCUCAGUAAUAUGGGUUAUUAAAAUGUUGAUAAUGUAACUGCAUAUUGCACCUGUGUGCUUUCUGUGAACAUUUGUGUUAAUAAAAUUUGAUCUCAAAAUGUU